CCAUAGCUCAGUUUUUACCUCAGCUGCACCAAAGGCAAUCUGUUUCCAGAAAAACAAUGAGGAAAAUAAUCUUGUGUGUUCUUGCUGUACUGCUUUGGUCACAAGCUGUGGAUGCUCUGGAAUGUUAUUAUUGUCCCAAUGGAGGAAACUGUUUUAGCACAACUACCUGCUCUGGUAAUCAAGACCAAUGUAUCACCAUAUUCU